AUGGUGCAAAAUGGUGCAGCAAUGGUGCAAAGGGGGGCUGUGAGAGUGCAAAACGGUGCAAGGAGGAGCGGUAAUGGUGCAAAACGGUGCAAGGUGGGGUGGUGAUGGUGCAAAGUAGAGCAGCAGUAGAGCAAAAUGGUGCAAGGUGGGGUGAUAAUAGUGCAAAAUAGAACAGGAAUGGUGCAAAGGGGAGCUGUGAGAGUGCAAAAUAGUGCAAGGCGCAGCAGGAAUGGUGCAAAGUAGAGCAGCAAUGGUGCAAAGGGGGGCUGUGAGAGUGCAAAAUGGUGCCAUGUGGGGCAGCAAUGGAGCACAAUUAAGCAGCAAUGGUGCACAGGGGGGCUGUGAGGGUGCAAAGUAGUGCGAGGAGGAGCGGUAAUGGUGCAAAACGGUGCAAGGUGGGGUGGAGAGAGUGCAAAGUUAAGCAGCAAUGGUGCAAAAUAGAGCAGCAGGAGUGCAAAAUAUGCAAGGUGAGCGGCCACUGGUGUGAGACAGGGCAGCAAUGGUGCAAAAUGGAGCCAGGGUUGUGCAAAGAGGAGCAAUGGUGCAAAACAGAGCGGCUGUGGUGCAAAGCAGAGCAGAAA